AUUGACCGCUGUCGGCAGGCCUAACACAUGCAAGUCGAACGAGUGGCGGACGGGUGAUUAAUGUCUGGGAAAAUGCCCGAUGGAGGGGGAUCACUACUGUAAACGUUAGCUAAUACCGCAUCCCAUCGGAGUCCCCCAGAUGGGAUUAGCUAGUAGGUGGGGUAACGGCUCACCUAGGCGACGAUCCCUAGCUGGUCUGAGAGGAUGACAAGCCACACUGGAACUGAGACACGGUCCAGACUACUACGGGAGGCAGCAGUGGGGAAUAUUGCACAAUGGGCGCAAGCCUGAUGCAGCCAUGCCGCGUGUAUGAAGAAGGCCUUCGGGUUGUAAAGUACGUUCAGCGAGGAGGCGUUACUCGCAGAAGAAGCACCGGCUAACUCCGUGCCAGCAGCGCGGUAAUAC
rnacentral:rRNA from 1 species